UUUCUAUCUGCUUCAGGUACUCAAGUAUCUUCAUGAAACCCAGCACAAUUCCAGUCUCCUUGAAAACAUUCGCUGUCUUGAAGAACAGCUGGAGGAUAAGGACUUUCAGAACAGGCAGCUUCAGGAGGAUAUCUCCCUGCUUCAACAG